rnacentral:tRNA from 1 species
GUAGGUAUAGCUCAAGUGGUAGAGCUCAUGCUUAGCAUGCAGGAGGUCCUGGGUUCAAUUCCCCAGUUCCUCUA